rnacentral:lncRNA from 1 species
AGUUCUUGGUUUGUUCAGUGUUUAUAGUAUGUUUUAACACAUGAGUGUGGCUGUGCAAAAAACAGUUUUGGGGCAUACUGUUCAUUUAUCCUCAUAUCCAUAAUUAUUGUAAUGUUAGUUUUCCAUGGCUUGUAUACAACUUACAAGCAUCCAUAAUGUUAGUUUUCCAGCAUUUAUAUGCAACUUAUAAGCGAACUGUAUAGAUCCACAUCAGACUGCAAGCUGAUCUGGAACCAAACUGGUCACAAAGCCAAAAUGUUGUUUUUUGCAUAGCAGUGCUCAGAUGAAAUAUUAAUAGGUAGUGGUGUGCUGAUUAAUCAUAGUGUCAACAAAUCAUGAAUAAAUGGGCAAUAACAUGACCGUCUACAAAAGUUUUUUGCGGUUGAUGAAUUCUGAUGUCCUGAUAAUGCCCCCAUUAUAAGCUGAAUCAUGUAUAGUUGCCACUCUGUACUAUCAGGGUGCAUGUCAAAUGAUUUCUAAUUAGACAGAAUAUGACAACAAUUCUUGAGCAUUGUGUGAACAAUUUACAAAAUUGUUGAAAUUAUGUUAUUGCCAAAAAUCGAAAAAGAUUAGCUAUUUUAAAUCUGUUUUCAUUAUGAUUAAUUAAUGAUCACAAAUUUGUGGCUGAUUUUUAAUUUUUUGAAUUUGAAUCAAGGUUUAUUUUACAUCACAACAACUGCACCUCAAAAUAAGUCUGGAGUCCUUCUUACAAACACAUUACUGGUAUUUAAUAGAGGAUACCAGUUCCAAGAAAUUUACACGUUAUUUGAGCAGGCAGAACCGGACUUUUUUCUUUAGAAUCUCAUACCUGUGAGGCAAGCAUUUUUAUAUGUUUAUUUUCAUUUGUCUUUAUUCACUAUGUCUUAUGGUACAAAAUAUUUGUAUAAAGAAAACAUUAUCACCUCAGUACUAUUGAAUUGAAUUUGCAACUCAAAUUUAAUGAAUUUAACCAAAAUACUGACAAGUAAAAUACUUAAUUAUUGUUGUAUGACUAAAGGAGAUAAAAGCAAAAUACUUGAGUUAUUCAGUAUUUCGAGCUAUAUAGAAUAUAGAAAUAUAGAAAAUUAUCAGGUAAACAAACGGGGACAACAUGAAUCACAUGAAUUGCUGUAGUGAGUGUGAGCCGGCAGUGCUCAGAGCAGUGUCGUGCUUUCUUUAAGAACAUAGUGAAAUUUGACUAUAAAUCUAGUUACUUAUUGAACAUAGAAACAACUAAAUGGCUGAUGAUAUAAAACAAACCUUUGUUCAUUUAUUCAUACUGCUAGUCAGUUUGUACUACACACAAGAUAUUUUACAAAUAUGUCCAAAUUUACAGGAGCUACAUUUUGUAUACUGAUUAAGUGAAUUGUCUUUAAACAGUUUUACUGCUGUAAUCAUUGCUAUGCUUUUUUAAGUAAAUGUUAUUCAGUAAAUUCUUUAAAACUUUUAUGAUUACAACUUGUAUAUAGAUCUGUGCACAAAAAGUAAAUUUGUUAUGUUGUAUGAUGUACGAUCUUAGGGGAAAUGAAAAAUUAUUAAAAUUUAUAGUCACAUAGCCAGUUAUUUGUCCGAUUACCUCAUGUUCUCAAAAGAAAUAAAAAAAAUAAAGAAAAUAAAGGUUUUUUAAUCUUA